rnacentral:lncRNA from 1 species
CCUUAACCAAUUCGAAAGCCGAUUAAAAGUUUUAUAAAUGUAAAUCUUACUUUGAAAGGCAACCUCAACGAAAAACAAUCACAAACAAAAAAACUACAGCAUGAUGACAACUACCACUGUAAGGUAAGGGGAAGGUCGGUCGGACAAGUUUGGAAGGGAGUGAAGCCAUAAGAGGAAGGGAUGGCAAAGGGAAGGGAUGGCAUAGGGAGGAAAGUAAGUGAGUAGCUUGUGGGGAAUGCAGAUAAACGACCGGGAAGUUUAUGAAGCCGGUUGGUAUGGACGUUGGGACGAACGCGAGUGUCAGUUGACAAGGCAAGCACGUGGAGGGAUCUCAGAUAUAUCAGGGAUGCAGAUUUCUCGGCCAUGAUCGUAACGACGCUAAUUAGUGGGCGAGAAAUCCGGGAUUGACGAAUCAACUGUUACAGGUAGUUAAUGACUUUUAACUGGCUGAGGCCUAUAAAUACAGAGAUAUGCUAGGUAUAAUUUCCUUAAGUAAUAUGUAUUGUGGUUAAUCUGAAGGUGACUUUGCUGACUUGAGCGUCGGAGUGCUAACUUGCAGGUCAAGUCCGAUCGGUGGUGAAGCAGGGAAGUUCGGAGAGGAGAGGAGAAGGAGCAGCAGGGGUUGUGUUUAAUCUCUGGUCUCAUAUCCGAAACAUCCUUCUGGGAUUGCUUAAGAGAGGAAACAUCCUUCUGGGAUUGGUUAAGUUUCUUGUCCGCUACAGCUCGGGCAUCUUCAGCGACUUUGUUUAAUUCUUCUAUACAAAGAGUGAGAGCAACGUUCUCCUUUUUUAUAGCUUCUAGACUUUUGGUGGCAGAUUCCAGCUCGGAUACAAGAAGGGGCUUAGUUGUCCCUGCAGUAUAGUUCAGGCACACACUGGCUCGAGCUAAAAGUUCAUAAGCCAUGUUCAAGGAUUCACUAGGCGUCAUGCCUUUGAAGGGUUUUUUCUCUUCAGCAGAUAAGUUGAAUUGUAGCCGGUCGGCCACGUGAACAUUAGGAUCCAGGGGCCCAGUGAGAAGGGGAUAGUUGGCCUUCUGUCUUUUGGUUGGGGAAGGACUCUUCUCUUGAGUCUUUCUUUUUGGUUUACUUUUGCCAACCGGUGGAUCCAUCGGCUUAGCGUCAAUCGUAGAUUCCACGUUGUCAGUAAUUUUCAUGGCAGAUUUUGUUGACGCUGGGGGGACGAUCGUGAGGGGGGAUUUGGGUUGGGGAACGACGGAGGAGGUACUCAUUCCGGUGGCAGUAAGCAGCUUUCGGCGAGCCAUCAAACUGGAGAAUGCUUCAUGUUGCUCCAUCCCGUUGAAGAGAUCUGAAAAGAAAACACAAAUUUAGACAUGUUAAUAUUCAUUGAACAAUGGCCAAAGGAAGAGAAGUAGACUUACCAAACACUCUGUCCGGUAGAGUGUCUUGUCCAAGCAAAUUUAUAAUUUGGCGGGAUGAGGUCUUUCGGGGUAGAAUGUCAAUUAGGCGGACCACCUCCAAUUCCUCUUCGGUCAUCUCUGUUGUAGCCCAAGAGUCAAUCCGAUUGGGCUCUUCGGUCCAAUAGAAAGGGAAUUUGGGGGUAUCAUCAUCAAAGAAGUAUUUCGGCCGAGCCAGCUCUAGAAGGGCUAUCUUACAGAAUUUGUUUUUGAAGUCUUUGUACGAGGAGUUGAAAGAAGUAAACAAUUGCUUAUCUUUUACGGGUAGCAACGAUAUCCAAGAUCGGUUAGAAUGCGGAAAUGCCCGGAAAAAAUAUAAAAAGGCAGCAGGAGUUGGAGUUAGUUGUAGGCCGGCACAUAUUAUGUAGAAGGCCUGCAUAAAUGCCCAGCCGUUCAGAUGCAGCUAGGCAGGGCAAAUGUUUAACUCUCUCAACACACCCAUUUGGAAGUCAGAAAAGAGAAGUCUUACCCCUAGAUCACGAAACAAUGUGACAUAUGUAUAGAAAAAAUCUAGUUCAUAUCCCUCGCGACCGUGGCAUGCUCGCUCGUUUAAACGGCAUACGACAAAAGAAUAAUCAUCAACAUCAUUGAAACUACGUAAAAUACCUACCUGUUCUAGCAUGUACCGAAGGGAAGCGGUGGAAACAUAGUAAGGAAGACAAUUUCGCACCUCGAAAUGGGUCCACUCAUAUCCUUGUACAAGAGGAGAGGGGUCAGGGGAAGUCCACAUACGAGAGUUAUCAACGUUAAACUCUACUUCUAUGGAAUAGCCGGACGAGCUAGACGAAGACACCGAAGAAGACCUUGAUGAAGACAAUUCGGCUGCCUCAUUGUCAUUGUACCCCCGACCUUCAUCCCGUGAUCCACGACUCGAUCGAGAAGAAACUGACAUUACCUUGUUAAAGAAAAACACUACGGAUGAUCGGGUGUGAGUGGUGAACGAUCGAUAAGGCACUGCACAGGCGGGAAGGAAGACACAGAAUGACAAGGGCCCUUCAUCUAUUUAUAGCCUUGAAAAACGGUUUCAUGAGGUCAUCGUGGCCGUCCAUUACCCUUGGAUCCUAAGGCGGAGAAAGAGUGUCGUUUCAUGUCACCCUUCGGAUUUGAUGAAUUAAUCUGGAUCGUUAGAUCGAAAGGUAAUCGUAAGGUCUCGAUACGCCAAAGCUGGUCGGUGGCACUUAAACCCCUUCGCUUAUCGUAACGUUUGGGGCUUGGGGGGCUUAUGUAAGGUAAGGGGAAGGUCGGUCGGACAAGUUUGGAAGGGAGUGAAGCCAUAAGAGGAAGGGAUGGCAAAGGGAGGAAAGUAAGUGAGUAGCCUGUGGGGAAUGCAGAUAAACGACCGGGAAGUUUAUGAAGCCGGUCGGUAUGGACGUUGGGACGAACGGGAGUGUCAGUUGACAAGGCAAGCACCUGGAGGGAUCUCAUAUAUAUCACGGAUGCGGAUUUCUCGGCCAUGAUCGUAACGACGCUAAUUAGUUGGCGAGAAAUCCGGGAUUGAUAAAUCAGUUGUUAUAGGUAGUUAAUGACUUUUAACUGGCUGAGACCUAUAAAUACAGAGAUAUGCCAGGUAUAAUUUCCUUAAGUAAUACGUAUUGUGGUUAAUCUGAAGGUGACUUUGCUGACUUGAGCGUCGGAAUGCUAACUUGCAGGUCACGUCCGAUCGGUGGUGAAGCAGGGAAGUUCGGAGAGGAGAGGAGAAGGAGCAGCAGGGGUUG